rnacentral:lncRNA from 1 species
UCCAACUUGCUCCAGGUGUUCUUAAUUAUUUUCCAUUCCAUUUUAAUAUUGUUCCCAUUUAUAGAAGCAUUCUUAAAAUUGAUUUGAAGGAUUAUAGUAUACUUUGUGAUGUCAUGUUUUGUUGUCAUUAAAAUUAUUUUAGGGGUUAAUAAAAAUUUGAUUGAUCUAGUUAUAUUUUGUAGAAAAAUGAUUUAAACUAGAUCAGGCAUUGGUGGAGGGCAAGCCCCA